GACGAACGCUGGCGGCGUGCUUAACACAUGCAAGUCGAACGGGCUUCUGGGGUUCUGGCUUUUUUGGUUGGGGUUCUGGGGGUUAGUGGCGAACGGGUGAGUAACACGUGAGUAACCUGCCCUUCACUUCUGGAUAACCGCUUGAAAGGGUGGCUAAUACGGGAUGUUUCUGGGUCUGUCGCAUGGCGGGUUCGGGAAAGAUGGCACUGUUUGGUGGUUUUGGUGGGGGAUGGGCUCGCGGCCUAUCAGCUUGUUGGUGGGGUGAUGGCCUGCCAAGGGUUUGGCGGGUAGCCGGCCUGAGAGGGUGGGCGGUCACGCUGGGACUGAGAUACGGCCCAGACUUCUACGGGAGGCAGCAGUGGGGAAUAUUGCACGAUGGGCGGAAGCCUGAUGCAGCGACGUCGCGUGAGGGAUGGAGGCCUUCGGGUUGUGAACCUCUUUCGCCAGGGAGGAGGGCCUUGCCCGUGUGGUGGGGUUGACGGUAGCUGGGUUAAUUGAAGCGCCGGCUAACUACGUG
rnacentral:rRNA from 1 species